UACGUAGGGUGCGAGCGUUAAUCGGAAUUACUGGGCGUAAAGCGUGCGCAGGCGGUUUUGUAAGUCUGACGUGAAAUCCCCGGGCUUAACCUGGGAAUUGCGUUGGAGACUGCAAGGCUGGAGUCUGGCAGAGGGGGGUAGAAUUCCACGAGUAGCAGUGAAAUGCGUAGAGAUGUGGAGGAACACCGAUGGCGAAGGCAGCCCCCUGGGUCAAGACUGACGCUCAUGCACGAAAGCGUGGGGAGCAAACAGG
rnacentral:rRNA from 1 species